CGAUUCUGUCUCGUGCUCCCUCCCAUUUUCUUUUCAUUUCUUUCCUUCCAAACAAACCAAAACCACUAGAUCUACUCCUUUGAAUCUCCCCAUCUAGCGAGCUCUUGUUGAUGCCUGGAAACUUCUGGUUCGAUCGGGACGUCAAUGAUGGAUUCAAGGCCAACACACAGAGUCAUCUUCUUCCUGUCUUAGCAACAUCAAUUAAGGCAGAUCUCAGUGAAGUUGUUUCUGAAAAUGGUGGAGUUGAAAGUGGAGCUCAGACUGAUAAAAAAAGAAGCUGAUAAAAGAAUAGCCACUAAUAUCUUGAAGCAUCACAAGCUCCUAUUACAGAUUGGCUGUAAACCAGAUGAUAUAUUGGCUGUAAACCAGAUGAUAUAUGUGAUUUUGGUGAUUAUUAUUAUUAUUUCUAACUCCUUGCAAGUCAGAUUAGCUGUAAACCAGAUGAUAUGUGUGAUUUUGAA